AAAUGCUACUAAGGGCAUACGGUGGAUGCCUUGGCGUUGAGAGGCGAUGAAGGACGUGGCAAGCUGCGAAAAGCUUCGGGUAGUGGCACACACACAAUAAUCCGAAGAUAUCCGAAUGGGACAACCUGAUAUUUUGAAGAAAUAUCACCCACCGCAAGGUGAGGAGCUAACCUGGAGAACUGAAACAUCUAAGUACCCAGAGGAAAAGAAAAUAAAAAUGAUUCCCUAAGUAGUGGCGAGCGAACGGGGAAGAGCCCAAACCAGAAUAGCGUGCUGUUCUGGGGUUAUAGGACUAAAAUAUUGAAACUAAAGGAAGUAGAAUCAUUUUGGAAAGAAGAGCCGAAGAAGGUGAAAGCCCUGUACAUAUAAAAUUUAGUAACAUAUUAGUAUCCUGAGUAGCGCGGGACUGGAGAAAUCUUGCGUGAAUUUGCCGGCACCAUCCGGUAAGGCUAAAUACUCCUCAACGACCGAUAGUGAACAAGUACCGUAAGGGAAAGGUGAAAAGAACCCUGAAUAAGGGAGUGAAAUAGUACCUGAAACCGUAUGCCUACAAGCGGUAGGAGCUUAAUUUAUUAAGUGACUGCGUGCCUUUUGCAUAAUGAACCUACGAGUUAUUACUUACUGGCAAGGUUAAGAUUGAAAAUCGGAGCCGAAGCGAAAGCGAGUCCGAAUAGGGCUAUAGUCAGUAGGUAUAGACGCGAAACUUAGUGAUCUAUCCAUGAGCAGGAUGAAGGUGUGGUAACACACACUGGAGGUCCGAACCCAUUAACGUUGAAAAGUUAUGGGAUGACUUGUGGAUAGGGGUGAAAGGCCAAUCAAACUGAGAGAUAGCUCGUUCUCCCCGAAAUGUUUUUAGGAACAGCGUCAGUAAAUUUGUAUUAUAGAGGUAGAGCUACUGAUUGGGCUAGGGGGUUUCACGACCUACCAAACCCUGACAAACUCCGAAUGCUAUAAUAUCAAGCUGGCAGUGAGGCUGUGGGCGCUAAGGUCCAUGGCCGAGAGGGAAAUAACCCAGACUAUCAGCUAAGGUCCCCAAAUCUAUGUUAAGUUGAACUAACGAAGUUUAAAUCCUAAGACAGCCAGGAUGUUGGCUUGGAAGCAGCCAUUCAUUUAAAGAGUGCGUAACAGCUCACUGGUCGAGGGUAUAAGCGCGGAAAAUAAUCGGGCAUAAAACAUAGUACCGAAGCUAUAGAUUGUACUUUAGUACAGUGGUAGGGGAGCAUUCUGACAGCGUUGAAGGUGUAUCGUGAGGUAUGCUGGAGCGGUUAGAAGCGAAAAUGUAGGUAUAAGUAACGAUAAAUAAGGUGAAAAACCUUAUCGCCGAAAAUCUAAGGGUUCCUGAUCAACGUUAAUCGGAUCAGGGUUAGUCGGGACCUUAGGAGCACCCGAAAGGGGAAUCUGAUGGAAAACCAGUAAUAUUCUGGUACCUGUAUUAAUAUCGAUGGGGUGACGGAGAAGUGAAAUCACUACGAUGCUGACGGAAUAGCACGUAUAAGUAUGUAGUUAUAUUUUGUAUAGGCAAAUCCGUACGAGAUGACGAAAUACGAAAGUAUAUCUUGACUACGGUCAGGAGGAAGUGAGUAAUAGCUCCCAAGAAAAACCUCUAAGGUUAGGUUAAUACAGCCCGUACCGCAAACCGACACAGGUAGAUGGGAUGAGUAUUCUAAGGCGCUUGGGUGAGCCGUGGAGAAGGAACUAGGCAAAUUUUGUCUGUAACUUCGGGAUAAAGACAUCCCGACAGCGAUGUCGGGACUCAGUGAAAAGGUUCAACCAACUGUUUAGCAAAAACACAGGGCUCUGCAAAAACGUAAGUUGACGUAUAGGGCCUGAAACCUGCCCGGUGCUGGAAGGUUAAGGAAGCUUGUUAGGGUUAAACCGAAGCUUGUGACCGAAGCCCCAGUAAACGGCGGCCGUAACUAUAACGGUCCUAAGGUAGCGAAAUUCCUUGUCGGGUAAGUUCCGACCUGCACGAAUGGCGUAACGAUGGCCACACUGUCUCCUCCUGAGACUCAGCGAAGUUGAAAUGUUUGUGAAGAUGCAAUCUCCCCGCGGCAAGACGGAAAGACCCCAUGAACCUUUACUGUAGCUUUGCAUUGGACUUUGAACCGGUCUGUGUAGGAUAGGUGGGAGGCUGUGAAACCGGGACGCUAGUUUCGGUGGAGCCAACCUUGAAAUACCACCCUGGUUUGUUUGAGGUUCUAACCUUGAUCCGUGAAUCCGGAUCGGGGACCGUGCAUGGUGGGCAGUUUGACUGGGGCGGUCUCCUCCCAAAAGGUAACGGAGGAGUACGAAGGUACGCUUAGGGCGGUCGGACAUCGCCCAUAAAGUGCAAUGGCAAAAGCGUGCUUGACUGCGAGACCCACAAGUCGAGCAGGUGCGAAAGCAGGUCAUAGUGAUCCGGUGGUUCUGUAUGGAAGGGCCAUCGCUCAACGGAUAAAAGGUACUCUGGGGAUAACAGGCUGAUACCGCCCAAGAGUUCAUAUCGACGGCGGUGUUUGGCACCUCGAUGUCGGCUCAUCACAUCCUGGGGCUGUAGCCGGUCCCAAGGGUAUGGCUGUUCGCCAUUUAAAGUGGUACGUGAGCUGGGUUUAAAACGUCGUGAGACAGUUUGGUCCCUAUCUGCCGUGGGCGCUG
rnacentral:rRNA from 1 species